GUCCACGCUGUAAACGAUGAAACUUGCUGUUAGGCAUAUAAAUGUGUUUAGUAGCGUAGCUAACGCGUUAAGUUUUCCGCCUGGGGAGUAUGAUCGCAAGGUUAAACUCAAAGGAAUUGACGGGGGCCCGCACAAGCGGUGGAGCAUGUGGUUUAAUUCGAUGAUACACGAAGAACCUUACCUACCCUUGAUCUCCAUGACUAAAUAGAGAUAUUUGGGUGCCUUCGGGAAUUGGAUGACAGGUGCUGCAUGGCUGUCGU
rnacentral:rRNA from 1 species